rnacentral:rRNA from 1 species
UACGGGGGGGGCAAGCGUUGUUCGGAAUUACUGGGCGUAAAGGGCUCGUAGGCGGCCAACUAAGUCAGACGUGAAAUCCCUCGGCUUAACCGGGGAACUGCAUCUGAUACUGGAUGGCUUGAGAUUGGGAGAGGGAUGCGGAAUUCCAGGUGUAGCGGUGAAAUGCGUAGAUAUCUGGAGGAACACCGGUGGCGAAGGCGGCAUCCUGGACCAACACUGACGCUGAGGAGCGAAAGCCAGGGGAGCAAAAGGG